UACAGAGGUCUCAAGCGUUGUUCGGAUUCAUUGGGCGUAAAGGGUGCGUAGGCGGCGCGGUAAGUCGGGUGUGAAAUCUCGGGGCUUAACUCCGAAACUGCAUUCGAUACUGCCGUGCUUGAGGACUGGAGAGGAGACUGGAAUUUACGGUGUAGCGGUGAAAUGCGUAGAUAUCGUAAGGAAGACCAGUGGCGAAGGUGGGUCUCUGGACAGUUCCUGACGCUGAGGCACGAAGGCCAGGGGAGCAAACGGG
rnacentral:rRNA from 1 species